AAAAUCCGUCGAUUUCAAAAAUCGUGAGGGUUCAAGUCCCUCUAUCCC
rnacentral:tRNA from 1 species